GAUGAACGCUGGCGGCGUGCCUAAUACAUGCAAGUCGAGCGAACAGACGAGGAGCUUGCUCCUCUGACGUUAGCGGCGGACGGUUGAUUACACCUGGGUUAACCUCCCUUUAAGAUUGGGUAACCUCCGGAAACCCGGGGCUAUUCCGGGUUAUUAUAUUUAACCCCAUGUUUCAUUGUUAAAGAACGUUUUUGCUUUACCUUAAGAAUGAAUCCGCGCCGCAUUAGCUAGUUGGUAAGGUAACGGCUUACCAAGGCAACGAUGCGUAGCCGACCUGAGAGGGUGAUCGGCCACACUGGAACUGAGACACGGUCCAGACUCCUACGGGAGGCAGCAGUAGGGAAUCUUCCGCAAUGGGCGAAAGCUUGACGGAGCAACGCCGCGUGAGUGAUGAAGGUCUUCGGAUCGUAAAACUCUGUUAUUAGGGAAGAACAAAUGUGUAAGUAACUAUGCACGUCUUGACGGUACCUAAUCAGAAAGCCACGGCUAACUACGUG
rnacentral:rRNA from 1 species